AACAGCAUGGCUUAGGGGAUAGAGCAUGGACCUGGGAGUCAGAAGGACCUGGGUUCUAAUCCCAGUUCUGCUA
rfam:Ornithorhynchus anatinus chromosome 5, whole genome shotgun sequence.